rnacentral:lncRNA from 1 species
UUUCUCUGUUUACAUCACAAAUAUUUACCUUUGUGCUAUCAUUGUCUACAGUAUUCAUUUCAGGAGCACUGUAUAGGUCUAUAGCCUAGAACUGAAGACUACACCAUAGAGCCUUGUCAUGCAGAAGGUGAUACCUCUGAGGUUUGUGGAAGCACUCUGUGAUUUUUACACAACUGCAAAAUCACCCCCAGACAAAUACAUCAGAUCAUAUCCCCACUGGACUUACAGUGUGUGUGCGCUCCUCCUCUCCCAACAGGUAAAAGCACAUUCAAAUGUAUCCACGCUUUAUGAAAAGAAGCAAAACGUCUCCUUGACUGUCUUAUCUCUCCCUUAUUCGCUCUCCCUUCACAGCCAAGCUCCUCGGUACCUGUCGCUGUCAUCACUGCUCAUUCACUCUUCCACAGGCUAUGUUCUGUCAUCCCUCACCGUACAAUCACAUCUACUCCACCAAAGAUACCGUGAUCCUUGCUUGCCAGAUUCAAGAGACGCAUUUUGGCCCUGACUUGCUUGGCCUCCCUGAGCCUCCAGAAUUGACUGCUGCUUUCCUGAACCUUCCUGGGCGACAUGAUUCCGUCACUCUUGGUUUUCCUAUUGUGCAGGAUUCAUAGCAUUGGUGGCAGGGGGGGAUAAUUUUAGAUGGUACAAGAUCACAA